AUGAGGAAGCACACUUUGUACAGAGUCUGUUCAGCAUUUGCUGAAUCACUCAUUUGCUGGAUAUAUUAUCUGUAUUUUACUGCCGAAUUCUCAGCACCAUCCCAGGAAGUUGGAGCCUUGAGUAGAGUUUGGAAUUUGCCUUCCAGGAAAGAAGAGUUUGCUGCAGGCCUCAAAUGGGGUGAUUGGUUCCUGGCUUUCAUGCAGGCCAGUGCCAUCUUCCCCCAACAUCCCACCCUCCGCUUCUCUCCUGGGAACUUCAGUGACGCCAAUCAGGCACUCUGUUUUAGUGCCACUAACACCCAUGACCAGCAGAGGGCAGAAGAGAGGAGCAGGAGCCUCCCGUGGAGCCAAACGAGGGGCUCCCCUCUCAGUAAGCAGAAAACUCACGAUUCCGGUACAGUGAGCCAUUAGGGACAAGCUGCCCUCGAAAACCCCCUCCGCGCAGCCGGCCCGCACCCUGACUGCUCUGCCGCUGCUCUCCUAAACCCUCAUCCAGGAGCCACAGCAAGGCCACCAGACGUGCCACAGCCAUCCGAGCAGCAUGGGGAAGGGCAUGGGAAACAAAGCUUUGUCAUGUGUACUUGUAAAUUCCUGUUUUACACGUACCUGUAAAUUCCUGUUUUAUUUAAACUGCUGCCAGAAAAGUCACAGGAUGAUGUAAAUCUGUCGCAAGCUGACAAACUAUCUCUGUGCCUGUUACAGGCUGACAGAUUAUCUCGGUCCCGAGUCCUCUCACCCCGUGUAAACCCCUCGUUUUGUAAGCUCGGGGCCGCUCCUCUGACUGUUAUGGAGCAGCUGGCAGGUCAAUAAAACUUGCUCGUCUGACUUUUCUCUCGGGUGACCUCACAUGUUGGUACCAAAACCGGGGAAGGGUAGACUCUGGCCAGGUGUCCUUAAGGGACUCUCUCUCUCUCUCUCUCUCCCUCCUUCCCUCUCCAGUCCCCUCUUUCCCGGCCUACCCUCCCCUUCCCGAACCUGCCAAAGACCCAGAGAAUCUUCCAGACUCUCCCGUUGCUGCGACGUCGUCCACCAUCAAGGCCUCCGCUGGGGUGUGAGUGAGACCGUUUCCAUUUACCAGGAACCCUGACGGUCUCUGCCUUCCCGAAAGGCGCGGCGCUGGGCCGGGGGCUUCCUCCGUUUCAGGGACGCCCUG
rnacentral:lncRNA from 1 species